CUCUUCUUUAUCCAUCUUUUUGGGUCCUGCAUAGAUGUGGAGUAAGAGAUUGAAGAAAUGGGUAGGGAUUGUUUAGAAUUUAUGUUGAUGAUGAUCAUUGUUGAUGUACUUUGUGGUGUGUGAUUGAUGUAUUUGGUGUCAUUUUGUACUAUAUUAAUGACCUAAUUACUUGUAUAAUUCUUACGCCAAUUUUAUUAUUUUUUUAAGAGGAUGUGGGAUUAGAGAAUUAGGCUAAUAAAUCUUGGUUUACUUGAGUGAUCCACUUGUAAUAUUUAUUUUGGCUUGAUGAGCUACUCUCACUUGUAUUUGUGAUUUAUUCUAGCAAUAAAUCUUGUGAUUUAUCCUUCUUAAAAAA
rnacentral:misc_RNA from 1 species